rnacentral:rRNA from 1 species
GAUGAACGCUAGCGGGAGGCCUAACACAUGCAAGCCGAGCGGUAUUUGUUCUUCGGAACAGAGAGAGCGGCGCACGGGUGCGGAACACGUGUGCAACCUGCCUUUAUCUGGGGGAUAGCCUUUCGAAAGGAAGAUUAAUACCCCAUAAUAUAUUGAGUGGCAUCAUUUGAUAUUGAAAACUCCGGUGGAUAGAGAUGGGCACGCGCAAGAUUAGAUAGUUGGUGAGGUAACGGCUCACCAAGUCAAUGAUCUUUAGGGGGCCUGAGAGGGUGAUCCCCCACACUGGUACGGAGACACGGACCAGACUCCUACGGGAGGCAGCAGUGAGGAAUAUUGGACAAUGGGUUAGCGCCUGAUCCAGCCAUCCCGCGUGAAGGACGACGGCCCUAUGGGUUGUAAACUUCUUUUGUAUAGGGAUAAACCUACUCUCGUGAGAGUAGCUGAAGGUACUAUACGAAUAAGCACCGGCUAACUCCGUG